rnacentral:tRNA from 1 species
AAAAAGGAAAAAAAUAGGGGGAAAAUGAAAGAAAGAAAAGGAAAAGGGAAAUUGAGAGGGGGAAAAGGGAGGAAAUAAAGGGAAGAAAAAUAGAGGGAAAUUAGAGAAAAGGAAAAAAAUGGAAAAGAAGGAGGGGAAAAGAAGAAAAACAGGGAAAUUAGAAAAAAGGGAGAAAUGGACAAGAAGGGGGGAAAGGAAGAUGAAAAAACCCAGGAAAAUAAAAAAUAGGGAAAGAAAGGGAAAACGGGAAAAUCGGGCAAAAAGGAAUGGAAAAAAGGAAGGUAAGAAAAAAUGGAGGGAAAUUAGAGAAACAUGGAAAACGAUAGGGCGAAGGAAGGGAAGAAAACUGGGAAAAUGAGAGGAAAAAAAAGGAAAAGGAAGAAAAAGGAACAAGAGAAAGGGAAAGGAAAAAAGAGGGAAGAACAGGAAGGAAGGAGAGAAAAAAGGCAGGAAAAGAGUGGGAAAAAAAAUGGAAAAGCCGGGAAGGAAAUAAAGGAGGGGAAAGGGGCAGGAGGAGGAGCGGGAGGCGCUGAGCGAGCGCGGCUCUCACAUGCCCGGGAUCACCGGCGGCUCCCGCACGCCCGGGAUUACCGGCAGCUCCCCUCCCCGCCCGCUGCCGGCGCUCGCAGCCCGGCCCCGUCCUGGUGGCCCCGUGCCCGGGGGUUCCGGUGAGCCGCUGUCUGUGCCGCUGUCUCGGUUCCCGGGAUCGCGGGGUCGGUGCCUGCUGGAGCUGUUACCGGUGCCGGUCUCAGUGCUCGGUUGCCCCGGUUCCGGCGUCCCAGUGCCGGUGUCGAGUGUCCCUGUGCUUGGGGCCGAUGUCUGGUGUCCUGUUCCCUCUGUCCGUUGCCGGUGCCUGUUCCCCAUUCCCGCUCUUCCUUUCCCUGUAUCCUGUCCCCAUAUGCCGUUCUCGGUGUCCCGAUUCCAUUAUCGGUGUCCCGUUCCCAUUCCCAAUGUCCCAUUCCCAAUUUUCCGUUCCCUUUCCCGGUAUUUCGUUCCCGUUCCCGGUGUCCCGUUCCUGGUGUCCCAUUCCUGGUGUCCCGUUCCCAGUGUCCCGUUCCUUUCCCGCUGUAGCCGCCCCGUUCCUGGUGUCCCGUUCCCAUUCCCGGUGUCCAGGUCCCGGUAUUCCAGGUAUCCCGUCCCCGUUCCCGAUAUCCCGUUUCCAUUCCCGGUGUCCCGGUAUUCCCGGUGUCCCGUUCCCCGUAUUCCCUGUAUUUCAUUUCCGUUCCCAGUGUUUUGUUCCAGUUCCUACACUGAGAGCCGUGCGCUGGAAACAACUGCAGCGCCGUCUCUGUGGCGCAAUCGGUUAGCGCGUUCGGCUGUUAACCGAAAGGUUGGUGGUUCGAGCCCACCCAGGGACGGAGUCACUCGUUUUGCCCCCGCCGCUUCUUUUCCCGGGGGGGACGGAACCGGACACGGAGAACGUUCCCCUGCCAGAAGUUACCCCUUCCGCACUCCCGUCAUGCCUCGCGCGCUCACUGUGACUCGUCACUUUUCCGCCCCGCCCAACCCUCUGCCUCAGCCAAUCACCUGA